GCAGUUUUGACGCCGGAUAGGACGGGGAAAUGAGUUAUCCACUUGUCAAACUUGUCCCGUCCUGGGUCAGGGCCAUCAAGUGCAAGCAUUUGGAAUUUGGAUCCAAAGAAGUGGCUAAGUGGAGCACAAGGCGGGCCCGAAAGUCAAGAUCUCAAAAUCCAUUCCAUCCCAAACAAGUCAGUGCAAAUCACAGACAUAUUCUUCUGGUCGGGUGUGGUAACAAAGCAGUUGAUGUUGGACUAUAUUUCACGGCUUCCAUUGGGAAAAUGUUUUUUUUCUUUCUCCGCCAUUUCGGUUUACCUCUUGACAUCGUGUUUCCGUGAGUUCAAAAGGAUGGCUUUUGGCAAUGCAG